rnacentral:rRNA from 1 species
AGAGCGAACGCUGGCGGCAGGCCUAAAACAUGCAAGUCGAACGAGCCCUUCGGGGUUAGUGGCGGACGGGUGAGUAACACGUGGGAACGUGCCUUUUGGUUCGGAACAACUCAGGGAAACUUGAGCUAAUACCGAAUGUGCCCUUCGGGGGAAAGAUUUAUCGCCAUUAGAGCGGCCCGCGUCUGAUUAGCUAGUUGGUGAGGUAAAGGCUCACCAAGGCUUCGAUCAGUAGCUGGUCUGAGAGGAUGAUCAGCCACACUGGGACUGAGACACGGCCCAGACUCCUACGGGAGGCAGCAGUUAGGAAUCUUGCGCAAUGGGCGAAAGCCUGACGCAGCCAUGCCGCGUGAAUGAUGAAGGUCUUAGGAUUGUAAAAUUCUUUCAGCGGGGACGAUAAUGACGGUACCCGCAGAAGAAGCUCCGGCUAACUUCGCGCCAGCAGCCGC